rnacentral:rRNA from 1 species
GAGUUUGAUUCUGGCUCAGACCUNACGCUGGCGGCAGGCCUAACACAUGCAAGUCGAGCGCGCCUUCGGGCGAGCGGCGGACGGGUUAGUAACGCGUGGGAACGUGCCCAGAUCUACGGAAUAGCCACUGGAAACGGUGAGUAAUACCGUAUACGCCCUUCGGGGGAAAGAUUUAUCGGAUUUGGAUCGGCCCGCGUUAGAUUAGGUAGUUGGUGGGGUAACGGCCUACCAAGCCUACGAUCUAUAGCUGGUUUUAGAGGAUGAUCAGCAACACUGGGACUGAGACACGGCCCAGACUCCUACGGGAGGCAGCAGUGGGGAAUCUUGGACAAUGGGGGCAACCCUGAUCCAGCCAUGCCGCGUGAGUGAAGAAGGCCCUAGGGUCGUAAAACUCUUUCGCCUGUGAUGAUAAUGACAGUAGCAGGUAAAGAAACCCCGGCUAACUCCGUGCCAGCAGCCGCGGUAAUACGGAGGGGGUUAGCGUUGUUCGGAAUUACUGGGCGUAAAGCGCACGUAGGCGGAUUAGAAAGUUAGAGGUGAAAUCCCGGGGCUCAACCCCGGAACUGCCUUUAAAACUACUAGUCUAGAGUUCGAGAGAGGUGAGUGGAAUUCCGAGUGUAGAGGUGAAAUUCGUAGAUAUUCGGAGGAACACCAGUGGCGAAGGCGGCUCACUGGCUCGAUACUGACGCUGAGGUGCGAAAGUGUGGGGAGCAAACAGGAUUAGAUACCCUGGUAGUCCACACCGUGAACGAUGAAUGCCAGUCGUCGGGUAGU